rnacentral:rRNA from 1 species
GACGAACGCUGGCGGCGUGCUUAACACAUGCAAGUCGAACGGAAAGGCCCUGCUUUUGUGGGGUGCUCGAGUGGCGAACGGGUGAGUAACACGUGAGUAACCUGCCCUUGACUUUGGGAUAACUUCAGGAAACUGGGGCUAAUACCGGAUAGGAGCUCCUGCUGCAUGGUGGGGGUUGGAAAGUUUCGGCGGUUGGGGAUGGACUCGCGGCUUAUCAGCUUGUUGGUGGGGUAGUGGCUUACCAAGGCUUUGACGGGUAGCCGGCCUGAGAGGGUGACCGGCCACAGUGGGACUGGGAUACGGCCCAGACUCCUACGGGAGGCAGCAGUGGAGAAUAGUGCACACAGGGCGGAAGCCUGAUGCAGCAACGCCGCGUGCGGGAUGUCUGCCUUCGGGGUGUAAACCGCUUUCGCGUGUGACGAAGCGUGAGUGACGGUAAUGAGUAGAGAAGCACCGGCUAACUACGU